rnacentral:tRNA from 1 species
GAAUUUGAACCUAAAGAAAAGGAAUCUAACUGAUAAUUAGAUAUUAUGAGGUUCAAAUCCUCACAAACUCU